UACAGAGGUCCCAAGCGUUGUUCGGAUUCACUGGGCGUAAAGGGUGCGUAGGCGGUUGGGUAAGUCUGAUGUGAAAUCUCACAGCUUAACUGUGAAACUGCAUUGGAUACUAUCCGGCUAGAGGAAUGGAGGGGAGACUGGAAUACUUGGUGUAGCAGUGAAAUGCGUAGAUAUCAAGUGGAACACCAGUGGCGAAGGCGAGUCUCUGGACAUUUCCUGACGCUGAGGCACGAAAGCCAGGGAGCGAACGGG
rnacentral:rRNA from 1 species